GCUAUACAUGCAAGUCGAGCGAACAGAUGAGAAGCUUGCUUCUCUGAUGUUAGCGGCGGACGGGUGAGUAACACGUGGGUAACCUACCUAUAAGACUGGGAUAACUCCGGGAAACCGGGGCUAAUACCGGAUAAUAUUUUGAACCGCAUGGUUCAAUAGUGAAAGACGGUUUCGGCUGUCACUUAUAGAUGGACCCGCGCCGUAUUAGCUAGUUGGUAAGGUAACGGCUUACCAAGGCGACGAUACGUAGCCGACCUGAGAGGGUGAUCGGCCACACUGGAACUGAGACACGGUCCAGACUCCUACGGGAGGCAGCAGUAGGGAAUCUUCCGCAAUGGGCGAAAGCCUGACGGAGCAACGCCGCGUGAGUGAUGAAGGUCUUCGGAUCGUAAAACUCUGUUGUUAGGGAAGAACAAAUUUGUUAGUAACUGAACAAGUCUUGACGGUACCUAACCAGAAAGCCACGGCUAACUACGUGCCAGCAGCCGCGGUAAUACGUAGGUGGCAAGCGUUAUCCGGAAUUAUUGGGCGUAAAGCGCGCGUAGGCGGUUUCUUAAGUCUGAUGUGAAAGCCCACGGCUCAACCGUGGAGGGUCAUUGGAAACUGGGAAACUUGAGUGCAGAAGAGGAGAGUGGAAUUCCAUGUGUAGCGGUGAAAUGCGCAGAGAUAUGGAGGAACACCAGUGGCGAAGGCGGCUCUCUGGUCUGUAACUGACGCUGAUGUGCGAAAGCGUGGGGAUCAAACAGGAUUAGAUACCCUGGUAGUCCACGCCGUAAACGAUGAGUGCUAAGUGUUAGGGGGUUUCCGCCCCUUAGUGCUGCAGCUAACGCAUUAAGCACUCCGCCUGGAGANUUACUACCGCUAGGUU
rnacentral:rRNA from 1 species